AACGGUUUAGAACACUGACGAGCUCUUACUACAGAGGCGCCCAAGGAAUCAUUCUCGUUUAUGAUGUGACGAGAAGAGAGACAUUCACAAACUUAGUAGAUGUGUGGAUAGGAACCAGUGAACUUGAUUUCUAAGCACACCAAGAGAGAGAUAAAGAGCAGUUACAAGAUAAAGAGCAGUUUACAAGAUUCUUCUUCAACCUCCAUGACGUCGAUUCCUGAGCACACCAAGAGAGAGAUAAAGAGCAGUUACAAGAUUCUCUCGCGCUGACACGAGAA